AGUUGAUCAUGGCUCAGGACGAACGGCUGGCGGCGUGCUUAACACAUGCAAGUCGAACGGAGUGGAACGCUGAAUUGAAGUCAGCUUGCUGAUGGAUUUCUGUUCACUAGUGGCGGACGGGUGAGUAACGCGUGAGUAACCUGCCUCUCAGUGGGGAAUAACGCCCUGAAAAGAGCGCUAAUACCGCAUAAUAUAUUUUUGCCGCAUGACAGGAAUAUCAAAGAUUUAUCGCUGAGAGAUGGACUCGCGUCCGAUUAGCUAGUUGGUGGGGUAACGGCCCACCAAGGCGACGAUCGGUAGCCGGGCUGAGAGGUUGAACGGCCACAUUGGGACUGAGACACGGCCCAGACUCCUACGGGAGGCAGCAGUGGGGGAUAUUGCGCAAAUGGGGGAAACCCUGACGCAGCAACGCCGCGUGGAGGAUGACGGUUUUCGGAUUGUAAACUCCUUUUAUAAGGGACGAACUAAGACGGUACCUUAUGAAUAAGCUCCGGCUAACUACGUGCCAGCCGCGGC
rnacentral:rRNA from 1 species